GCAACAACCGUGCCUAGCAUUGUUAUGUCAUCUCCACAUGUUCACCUCCCUCAGACCCAGUUGACUCUCUCUUGAUGACAAGGUUUCCGAACCCCUAGGUUCCAUCAAGAAGUAUAGAGAAAAGGCUUCUCAUUUGAAAGUGCCAUUAGCUUUUUAAUACCUUUCACUCGAGCUAAUAAAACGUGCCCCGUAAUGAGCCUUGAGAGGUAAUCGUGGGUUCCACCGUCGCCCCAAGGCCCCUUUUCCAAAGCCUUGG
rnacentral:lncRNA from 1 species